AUGAGCAGAACAUUUCCAGAGAAAUGUCCUCAGAGACAGAAAAUUCUUUCUCAGAAUGGCAAUAGCUAAUUUAGGAGGAGCAAGAGAAGGCUGCAAAUGCUGAGACAAGGAGUAGUUCAACACUGGUGAAUGAUGGUCUUUCAUGACUAGUAGGAUCCUGGAAUGAAGAGAACUCUAAAGACUGUGCUUGAUGCGUAAUCAAGAACUAUUUCACAUGCAUUUCAGCACCCAGAAGAUGGUACUUGAGGAUGCACAGUACCACUAAGCUACUUGCAGAAAGUUCUCUGUAUGGGAAAGAUGUGUUUCAAGUACAGCAGGAGGAAUGUACAUGCACAUGCCCAGCAGAAUCUUAUACUGUCCUGCUCUAUGCCAUGGGAGACUUCAUUCCUGGAUACUCUAAAUUACUAAUUUGGUCAGUAGACUGUAAUGGAAAAGAAGCUCUUUGACAUUGUCUGGGAUGUUGUAUUAAGAUGCUGAUUCCUAUAACAUUUACCAGCUAUUCACCCUCAACAGAGUUUUGUAUAUCUUAGGAUCUAAGAAUUUGAUCCCACAGUGCAAAUGAUGAUAACAUUGUCAUUAAGGUAUUUGAGCCAGGCUUGUAUAGAGAAGAGAGAUUGUCUCUGUUUCUACCCAUCUCUACCUAUAUUGGUACCAAAAGAUUUUUCUCUUUGGGUGUUUUUCACAUAGCAACAUGCUUCCUGAAAGCUGGAUACAGCUCCUAUAGGGAUCUUGGAUUCAUCACCUAACUUUAAGUUUACCUUAAUGGAAAGCUAUUUUUUUUCUGAUCUGGUUCAUAGUCCAUUCACUAUAAGACUUCUUGAUACAUUCUGUAGUUUUGAUACUUCUGCCCCUGGAUUAUUCUCUGUUCCUCCCCUGGUUCUGAACUCAUUAGUGGUGUUGAAAUAACUAGCUAGAGGCAGCUCAUAGGCAGUAUGACUAGAAGAAGUAACAAGCAUUCCGCCUCUUUCUGAAGGAUACAUAAACCAGUUUUUGUGUGUGUGAGAUAAGCACUUCUUAAGGAUUAUAAAAGUAAUUUUUAAACCCUACCAUGACAGAUUUUUUUCAUAUCCUGAAAUGUACAAGUCUUAAAAACAGUCAGGUAUAUAGAUAGAAUGAAUGCAUUCAGUUCAUUAAGAGAUCUUGACUGAAGCUAUUCCCCAGGAUGAUAAAAUGCUUUGGAGUCAAUGUUGGGUUCUGUGUGACUGGCUCCCAAGGCUAUCUUUCAAGGAUAUUGUGACUGCUGUGGAAAGCCAAUGGAACCAUAGAUGCACCUCCGCUUUGAUGGCCUGUGGAUUUCUGACAACCCAAACAGAUGCCCCUUAGGCUAUCUAGGAGGCACACCUCUUUCUGUGAAGAGAAUAAUGCACACCAGUGUAAUUUCUUUCUCCAUAGGCUAAUAUAUUGAAUCCAAUGUCUGGCACUAGUGAAAUUACAA
rnacentral:lncRNA from 1 species